GGCGUGGAGUCGAUUUCGGUGCCGGCGGUGGCCGGUGCCGGGAGUCCUUAGGCGUACUGGUGAGGUGGGGUGCCUCUGCUCACCGGCUGGCUCGUGCUCGGUGCCGAAGUUUUAUCUGGUAAAGCGAAUGAUGAGAGUUCUUGGGGCCGAAAUGAUCUCAACCUAUUCUCAAACUUUAAAUGGGUAAGAAGCCCGGCUUGCCGGCGUGGAGAUGGGAGUGGAAUGCAAGUUGCCUAGUGGCUCACUUUUGGUAAGCAGAACUGGUGCUGCAGGAUGAACCGAACGCCGGGUUAAGGCGCCCGAUGCUGACGCUCAUCAGACCUCAGAAAAGGUGUUGGUUGAUAUAGACAGCAGGACAGUGGCCAUGAAAGUUGGAAUCUGCUAAGGAGUGUGUAACAACUCACCUGCCAAAUCAACUAGCUCUGAAAAUGGAUGGCGCUGAAGCGUAGGGCCCAUACCCGGCCGUCGCCGGCAAGGAGAGCCGCGGGGCUUACGCCGCGACGAGUAGGAGGGCCGCUGCGGUGCGCCUUGAAGCCUAGGGCGCGGGCCCGGGUGGAGCCGCCGCAGGUGCAGAUCUUGGUGGAAGUA